UCCAUUUGCAUUUAUUUAUUCAUUUGCACCAUUUUUCUGAAGUAGUAAUAAGUUACGCCUCAAAACACCGUGAGUAAACCUAUGAACCUAAAACUUAAGACACACGGCUGCAUCUUAAUGUACAUUCUUCGGCAAAAAUCUGAGGAAGCAAGUAAGAACCCAGAAUAAAAUACAUUUUUUAUAACGGGUACAAUUAAAACUCACUUUCCAAAGGUGCGGUUCUUAAUAUCAGUUUAACGGUAUUAUAAAUGUAAAUGCUGACCUAAAAUACGGCCAGCGUGCAUUUUACAGCCCAUAAGCUCAUCUGUAUCCUUAUUAAUUAACGAGAAGCGGGCGGAAACUGAAGAUGUAGGAAAGGCUUGUUUGUUUACAUCACACUACAAACUGCAGUUCGCCUUUUAGAGCCUGCGUCCUAAAGACCGUGGGAGUUUUAGAAGUUUGUGUCCACAGCAGCUGAUGCUGACCUUGUGCUGCGUGACUUGAACCUUAAGUAGUGCGUGUGAAGCAGCUCUUUUAUGUUCUUUGAGUCACUCGUCACCUAAAGAGAUUGGCACUUACUAGGUGAAGCACCCAAGGUAGGGGCUGUAGAGGGUGUAUGUUCAAGAAAAGGUGUGAAGUUUCCUGGCAGUCUUUUCUAAUAGAAGUGUCCAGAAUUUCUUUGCAAACCGCUUUUGUUUGCUUCUUCAAAAAACUUCAGCUGCAUUCAUCUUGUGCUGUAAAUCCAGGUAUGUA